CCUUGUACACACCGCCCGUCACGUCAUGAAAGUUGGAGACGCCUGAAGUCGGUCCGCGAACCCCGCGGGGACGCAGCCGCCGAGGGCGGGGCCAGCGAUUGGGACG
rnacentral:rRNA from 1 species